GACGAACGCUGGCGGCGUGCUUAACACAUGCAAGUCGAACGAAGAGCGAUGGAAGCUUGCUUCUAUCAAUCUUAGUGGCGAACGGGUGAGUAACGCGUAAUCAACCUGCCCUUCAGAGGGGGACAACAGUUGGAAACGACUGCUAAUACCGCAUACGAUCUAAUCUCGGCAUCGAGGAUAGAUGAAAGGUGGCCUCUACAUGUAAGCUAUCACUGAAGGAGGGGAUUGCGUCUGAUUAGCUAGUUGGCGGGGUAACGGCCCACCAAGGCGAUGAUCAGUAGACGGUCUGAGAGGAUGAACGGCCACAUUGGGACUGAGACACGGCCCAGACUCCUACGGGAGGCAGCAGUGGGGAAUCUUCCGCAAUGGACGAAAGUCUGACGGAGCAACGCCGCGUGAGUGAUGACGGCCUUCGGGUUGUAAAGCUCUGUUAAUCGGGACGAAAGGCCUUCUUGCGAAUAGUGAGAAGGAUUGACGGUACCGGAAUAGAAAGCCACGGCUAACUACGUG
rnacentral:rRNA from 1 species